rnacentral:rRNA from 1 species
GGACGAACGCUGGCGGCGCGCUUAACACAUGCAAGUCGAACGGAAAGGCCUGCUUUCCCUUGUGGAUUGCGGGUACUCGAGUGGCGAACGGGUGAGUAACACGUGAGUGAUCUGCCCCCAACUUGGGUAUAAGCCUGGGAAACUGGGUCUAAUUCCCGAUAGGACUGCAGGGUGGUGCCUGUGGUGGAAAACGAUUUUCUAGUGGUUGGGGAUGAGCUCGCGGCCUAUCAGCUUGUUGGUGGGGUAAUGGCCUACCAAGGCGGCGACGGGUAGCCGGCCUGAGAGGGUGGACGGCCACAGUGGGACUGAGAUACGGCCCAGACUCCUACGGGAGGCAGCAGUGGGGAAUAUUGCACAAUGGGCGGAAGCCUGAUGCAGCGACGCCGCGUGGGGGAUGACGGCCUUCGGGUUGUAAACUCCUUUCGACCGCGAGGAAGCCACCUGGUUGGAAGGGUGAUGACGGUAGUGGUAGAAGAAGCACCGGCUAACUACGUG